UACGGGGGGGGCAAGCGUUGUUCGGAAUUACUGGGCGUAAAGGGCUCGUAGGCGGCCAACUAAGUCAGACGUGAAAUCCCCGGGCUCAACCUGGGAACUGCAUUUGUGACUGCAUCGCUGGAGUGCGGCAGAGGGGGAUGGAAUUCCGCGUGUAGCAGUGAAAUGCGUAGAUAUGCGGAGGAACACCGAUGGCGAAGGCGGCUCACUGGCCCGAUACUGACGCUGAGGUGCGAAAGCGUGGGGAGCAAACAGG
rnacentral:rRNA from 1 species